CAAUAGCAUAUAUUAACGUUGUUGCAGUUGAAAAGCUCGUAGUUGAACUUUUGGUAGGAGCGACCUGGCCUUGGGCGCAUGCCCUUGAUUGCCGUGUGUCGUAUCUGGCCAUCCUUUUCUUCUUUUUGGAAGGAAUCUUUUACUGUGAGUAAACUGGAGUGCUCAAAACAAGACGUUUGUUUGGUACAUUAAAGCAUGGAAUAAUAAGAUAGGACCUGGUUACUAUUUUGUUGGUUUGCAUAGCUAGGUAAUGAUUAACAGGGACAGUUGGGGGUAUUCGCAUUUAAUUGUCAGAGGUGAAAUUCUUGGAUUUAUGAAAGACGAACGACUGCGAAAGCAUUUACCAAGGAUGUUUUCAUUAA
rnacentral:rRNA from 1 species